UUUUUCUUUUUUCUUUUCUUCUUCCUUCUUCUUUCUUUUUUGGUUGCUCUCACUCCUUUCCACCCUCCACAAACCAGCAGUUGCCACCUCCCACUAGCCACUUUUCUGGCCAGUUCUGGUCGCCGGCCAGCCACCAUUUCCGGCCAACAUUCAUUCAAGCCUUUAGUUCACCCUUUUGGCUCAAAAUCAAGGUGAAAUUGAAGGAGUCUACACUUGGAUUCUAUUGUUGAUUGGAGUAGCAAACUUGAGUAGGCGAAGUUCAAGAACUUGGAAAGUUUUGGGUAAGAGAAGGGUUAUGAGACAAAAGUGAUGAAGGAAUGUUAAUAUUAAUUUGUGGGCCCGGUUGGAGUCAAUGAAAGGCGUUGCACGUGAUGGUAAAAGAUGGCCUUGCUCUUGUGAUAGGAUU